CAGCAACUGUGCAUAUGAAUCCAAUCACAUACUUUUUCUUGGAUAUUUGUGAGGACUGUGAAUCAUCUGAUGACUCGUUUUGAAAUACAAGAAGGGUGGAGGAAAUGGUAAGAAGGACUAAAGAGUUUACUAUGUAAGGUGUGAACUUGAGUGAAUUGAGGAAGUAUGAGAAGAAAGCAUUAAAAGCCAACUGGGAUGAGCAAAUGAGUGAGUAGGUUGAGACAGGAAGGUACCAUAGCCCAACUGAAUAUAAAUAACAACCUAAUGCCAGAAGUAGGCCAAUUGAGACAUAGACAAAUGCUAGCAUUGAAGCAGAUGGCUGAUUUGGAUGAAUGCUAUUGUUUGUUGCCAAAUUUUUGGGUGCUGAGAUGAAGUAAUAAGGAAGCAGAAUAGGGAAACCACCAAGUUGAACAAGUGUUCCCAUCCACUUACUCUUUCCACCCUUUUCAUAGUACAAUCUUCCAAGGAGUAAUGCAGCUGAUCCACACACCAACACAAGUGCAGAAUGGAUGGCUAUUCUGAACCAACGGUAAUACAUUCUUUUCCUACUCAUUGUUGACUCAUUCAUUGGACCAUGAAAACUAUUGUCCUCCAAGAAAUGUGUUUCUUUGACUCCAUUAGCUUAAAGAAAAACAUACCAAAUUAUGAAUAUAUAAACUUAGAUAAUAUAUCAUAUUAGAUUGGACAGAGCUGUUAUGUAUGCUUCUGAUUUGUUUCAAAAGAACUCACUUCCUCAGAAGCAGAGUUCCUUUGAUAUGUAAACUCCUUUUCUUCUUCUACUACUAUUAUUAUUAUUUCUAUUAUUGUUCUUGUUGGUUGAUUACAGAAAAGCAUCAGGGUGCUUGUGUUUGAUGCUUAAGCAGUUGACAUGUCACAAGAAUUGCGUCUUGAUUGAGAUAUAAUUGGAAGUGUAGCUAACAGUGUCUAUCAUUAGAAAAUGUUUUUUAUUGUUUUUGUCUUCUGUCUCCAUGAAUAAUUAUAAAAUGUUUUCUUCCUGUUUCUAAAGAUUUGGAAAAAGGUUGGUUUACUAUGUUGUUGUAUAAUGAGGUGAAAACAAGAAAAAUAGGGAUAAAGUAACUUCGUUAUAAACAUAGAAAAUAAAAAAAAAAUUCAAACCUAACAGGUCCUAACAUAGAUUAUCACGUUCAAUGAUUUUGUUAAUUUUAAGUUGUUUGGUAUGGAAUCUUUGUUAUGUCUAAUUCGGCGAUUUACAUUCUAGAGGAACCACCCAAAUUAGGACCAAAGUUUCUCGUUACAGGCAUGGAAAUUACGAAACACUUGAACAUAUGUAAGUUGGGCAUACACUGAAAUGGAAGAUUUCUUAGCCUAUAAUCAAAGUUAAACAUAAAUAGGUAGAGUGAAUAUGAUGCACCAGCAUGAAAAGUCAUAAUAAGGUAUAAUUAUAAAGUGGACUAUAAGUUUAACUCAAUCCCAUAAAACCGGCUCAUGGGGGGUAAGGUUUGCACCCACUUAUAUACAAUGUCCUGAUAUGAUCAACAAACAUUCGCUAGAAUAAGUUUUGAAUGACUCUGAUAUCAAAUUACAAAGUGGACUUUAAGCCUAACUCAACCCCAAAACCGGCUCAUGGGGGUAAGGUUUGCACCCACUUAUAUACAAUGACCUGAUAAGGUCAACAAACAUUCACUAGAAUAAGUUUUAAAUGACUCUCAUACCAAAUUACAAAGUGGAUUUUAAGCCUAACUCAACCCCAAAAUCGGCUCAUGGGGGUAAGGUUUGCACCCACUUAUAUACAAUGACCUGAUAAGGUCAACAAACAUUCGCUAGAAUAAGUUUUAAAUAGCUCUGAUACCAAAUUACAAAGUGGACUUUAAGCCUAACUCAACCCCAAAACCGGCUCAUGGGGGAUAAGGUUUGCACCCACUUAUAUACAAUGAAAUACUUUAAUCUUUAGUCGAUAUGAAAUCACUAACAUGUAUCUUUAUGAUCUUAAUUUUGUGACUCUAACCCAAUAGAACUUUGUUGUUUUUUAAGACAAAAAGUUGACUUACCAAUUUUGCUAAGAUGCACUUCUUGAGGGUCUCCCAUGUGGAUGGUGAAACAAGUUUCAGGGGAGUGUUGCACUUCUUGAGCUUCUUCCAUGUGGAAGGUGAAAUAAGUUUUGAGAAGAGGGAAUUGGAAAUGAAGAUAGAGUUAAGUGGAGAGUGAUCCAAAAUGCAAUUUAUACAUAUACAUUUCUAAAUGUCAUCAAUAGAGAGAGAAAUUGUACCAACUUAACCUCCUCAACUUUGCCUUAAUUACUAUUAGUACCUCUAUGUUUGUAGCCUACACAUUACAAUAUAAAUUUCCUAGACUUUUAUGUGAUUGAUGUGUAUUACUAGUAUAAAAAUGUUCUUAAACAAUAAUUUUUAUAAAACCUUUAGAUACGCAUUUUACCAUCGUAAUUUAUAUGAAUAUGUUGUUUAUAAUUCUGAUUUAUAAAUGAUGACUAUACAUAGUAAUCUAUUGAUGUCAUAUUGGUAUUAAUUAUUUUAAUAAUUUAUGUUUAUUUUUUAUGUAAAAUAAAAUCAUAAUAUACACUUAAAAGAUAUAGACGACGGUUAUUCAUAGAUCAUGUUACAUCUAUCUUUUGUGAUAUAAAUUAAAGUGUAUGUGAUGUGAUAUAUGAAGUAUAAAUACAAAGGUAUAUUGGAAACUUAUAAUUUUCAUGAGAUACGAUGACACGGUUAUAUAUGUUGAAUAUUAUUAUAAAAUUAUUUAAAACUAUAUUCAAAAUUAUUUUAAAAAGUUAAUCAAACAUAAUAAUUUAAAUACGAUGUUUUCUAAUAUAAAAAAUAUGGUCUAAUUCAUUUCUAUAAAAUUUUAAAUUGAAUAGAAGAUGUACUUAUUUAAGAUAUUUUUCACUACUUUAUCAAUCUUUAUUAUUGAAAAAGAUACAUUUUGAAGUUAGAUUCAUCUAAAAUAAUAUUUUUUAAAUUCGAUACUUGAGUAAAGUGUUGACACAUGUUGUGUUGAACACGACGAGUUUCAUGGAACGUGAUAGUUUGUUAAUUAUUCAACAAAACGUGGUAAUGUGUUUCUCAGCGUAAGUUUUUACUCUACCAUGCAUCUCACUGGCCGGACCGGGUCAAAUUCUUCUUCCACCUAAUGGCACAUUCAUAUUUUUAAAAAUAUAGAAAUUGUUGGUUCUUAAUUUUAUAAUUUGAAAUGUAAAUUUAAAAUAUAAAAUUUUACAUCUUGAAUGCUAGAAUUUAAAAUAAAAAAUUUGUAUUUUACAAUCAGUAUACAAAUAUAUAUUUCAAAUUCUAUGAUCCAAAAUAUAAAUAUAGAUUUCAAAUUCUAUGAUCCAAAAUAUAAAUUUUGGUUUGUAUUAUGGAUGGUAGAAUAUAAAUUUUGUAUUCUAAAUUUUAAAAUUUUAUAUUUUGAAUUUUAGAAUUCAGAAAAUAAAUUUUGUAUUUUUAAUGUAAAGUUCAUGAUACAUUAAAUUCAUUCAUUUAUAUUUUGGAAUAGAAUACUAAUUGUUUUUUAUUUUGAAUUUCACAAUCCAAAAUACUACAAGUUUUUGUAUUCUGAAUUGUACAAUCCAGAAUACAAUUCUCUCUACUUAGACAGUGGGGAUGUUGUGGCAAUGACAUUGAACGUAGGAGGUGCUGUGGUGGUGCCGCUAGAGGUGAAGACACUACUAGAAAGGCUUGGUCGUGGGUCACCGUCAGGUCUCACUCUGUCCUUUUCUCCUUUUUUGACUCUGGUUUGUACGAGGAUGGUUUAUUGAUGUUUUUUUCCUGGUGUUUUUUUUUAGGUGGGUUCUUUGGGUCCAAUCACGUGAGUUGUUUAUAGGUGUCUACAAAGUGGUUUGGUUUGGGUGGGGAGGCUUAGGGUUUAUGUUGUAUAUAAGGGUUGAACCACCAUAAAGUGGUUCACAUUUAUUUAUUUUUUAUUGUCGAUAAAAAAACUAAAAAAUUAAUUUUAAAGACAAAAAAUAAGUAGUUGUCGUUAACUAAAUUAGAUACUAAUUUAGACACUAAAACAACUAUUGGUAUCUAAAUUAGUUUUUAUUGUUGAUAAAUAAUUUCUAAAUUGGUAUCUAAUUAGCUACCUAAGUUUUAACUAUCAAUUAUUUAGAUUCUAAAGUUGGUAUUAAAACUAGGUAGCUAAUUAGAUAUCAAUUUAAAAAUUAUUUAUCAAUAAUAGAAACUAAUUUAGAUACCAAUAAUUUUUUAGUCUAUAAAAUAGUAUUUAAUUUAGUGAAUAUAACAAGAAAUUAUUUUUUAUUUCUAGAAUUAAUUUUUAUUUAAUGAUUUUCUUAUAAUGAUAGAGAGUUACAACUAGAGGUGUACAUCCUGAUAGAUAAGUGAAAGAGAGAUGCUCAAUAUAUGGAGAUGCAUAGAAAAUAUGUGCAGAGAAGUAGGAAGAGUUGCCCUUUUGAGAGAUCAUAUUUAUUGAACUAGAGAAAUAAAUGGAUAUAAUUGUUGAAUUGCAAUUGCUUACAAUUGUAAAUAACUUGGCCCAAAUAUUGAAAUAAUUUCUAUAGAUUAUUAACGAUGAUUGAUGAUAAGUUAAAUACACUUUUCAUGGUCUGAGACAUAUUAUGUCUCUUACUUAUUGAGUUCUAAAAUAAUUUAAUUCUAUGUUGUGCAAUGAAAUUGGAACCAUGAUAUCCAUUAUUAUAUAAAAUGUACCUAUGCAAUCGUUUAUUCAAUUUUGGUAGCAGUAUAUAAUUUACAAAAGUAAAAACACAAUCUCUUUGCAAACAAUUUUGUUGUUACACUUGCACAAACUGGUGAGUCAUUUGUAAAGUUCUACCUCACGUGACCAAAACUCAAGGCAAAUAGUGAACGACAAGAUUAUAAUAGAAGAUUUGAUAUGCAUAUUUGUAAGUGUUGUAAAUUUGUAAUACAAACAGGGAUAGUGUUUCUAAUAAAAAAGCUACCAAACUCAUCUAUGAACCUCUUCUAGAGGUACAGAAUCUUUUGAAACAUGACUAGUGAUUCUGUUUUCGGACUUUGUAUCAUCAAUGUACUGUUGAUACACAUAUGACAUGAUGCCCCAAAUAGCUAGCACCAUAGAGAUAGCCUUAAUACCAUGCAUUUUGUCAUGAAAGAUUAUCACUGCCAACAUUGGAACAAUAGGCACUCCCAAAACGCUUAUGGCAUUUGAAAAGAGGGAAGAAACCUCACUAAUGAGUCCCAAACAACCAAUUGUGAAGAGUUGCCAAAGUAUGGUUGUGAAAGUGAGGUUCAACACAUAUGUAACCUUCCCCAUCUCAUACUCAUUCAUUUCAUUCUUCAAACUUUUCCACUCUCCACUAGCAAAAAGUCCCACUACAGUCACACAGGUAGCUACAAAAGACGUGUAUACUAUCAUAUCCAUGACCACUUUGAAUGUUUCCUUUUUUAUAACCUUCUUGAACACCAGUUGUGUGAGGGAAAGCCACAGUCCAUAACCUGCUGAUGCAGCAACUGUGCAUAUGAAUCCAAUCACAUACUUUUUCUUGGAUAUUUGUGAGGACUCUGAAUCAUCGGAUGACUCGUUUUGAAAUACAAGAAGGGUAGAGGAAAUGGUAAGAAGGACUAGAGAGUUUACUAUGUAAGGUGUGAACUUGAGUGAAUUGAGGAAGUAUGAGAAGAAAGCAUUAAAAGCCAACUGGGAUGAGCAAACGAGUGAAUAGGUAGAGACAGGAAGGUACAAUAGCCCAACUGAAUAUAAAUAGCAAUCUAAUGCCACAAGUAGGCCAAUU
rnacentral:lncRNA from 1 species